AGCACCGGCUAACUACGUGCCAGCAGCCGCGGUAAUACGUAGGGUGCAAGCGUUAUCCGGAAUUAUUGGGCGUAAAGGGCUCGUAGGCGGUUCGUCGCGUCCGGUGUGAAAGUCCAUCGCUUAACGGUGGAUCUGCGCCGGGUACGGGCGGGCUGGAGUGCGGUAGGGGAGACUGGAAUUCCCGGUGUAACGGUGGAAUGUGUAGAUAUCGGGAAGAACACCAAUGGCGAAGGCAGGUCUCUGGGCCGUUACUGACGCUGAGGAGCGAAAGCGUGGGGAGCGAACAGGAUUAGAUACCCUGGUAGUCCACGCCGUAAACGGUGGAUGCUGGAUGUGGGGCCCGUUCCACGGGUUCCGUGUCGGAGCUAACGCGUUAAGCAUCCCGCCUGGGGAGUACGGCCGCAAGGCUAAAACUCAAAGAAAUUGACGGGGGCCCGCACAAGCGGCGGAGCAUGCGGAUUAAUUCGAUGCAACGCGAAGAACCUUACCUGGGCUUGACAUGUUCCCGACCGCGGCAGAGAUGUCGUUUCCCUUCGGGGCGGGUUCACAGGUGGUGCAUGGUCGUCGUCAGCUCGUGUCGUGAGAUGUUGGGUUAAGUCCCGCAACGAGCGCAACCCUCGCCCUGUGUUGCCAGCACGUCAUGGUGGGAACUCACGGGGGACCGCCGGGGUCAACUCGGAGGAAGGUGGGGAUGACGUCAGAUCAUCAUGCCCCUUACGUCCAGGGCUUCACGCAUGCUACAAUGGCCGGUACAACGGGAUGCGACACGGCGACGUGGAGCGGAUCCCUGAAAACCGGUCUCAGUUCGGAUUGGAGUCUGCAACCCGACUCCAUGAAGGCGGAGUCGCUAGUAAUCGCGGAUCAGCAACGCCGCGGUGAAUGCGUUCCCGGGCCUUGUACACACCGCCCGUCAAGUCAUGAAAGUGGGUAGCACCCGAAGCCGGUGGCCUAACCCUUUGUGGAUGGAGCCGUCUAAGGUGAGACUCGUGAUUGGGACUAAGUCGUAACAAGGUAGCCGUACCGGAAGGUGCGGCUG
rnacentral:rRNA from 1 species